rnacentral:lncRNA from 10 species
UCAUGCCACCGCUUCAUGUCACUUCAUUGUUCCCCAGUUGGCAACAGCUCUGCAGAAAUGACCCCAUUUGGAAAUGUUUGUGGGAGUCUGAGCAAAAGAUCUACACAGCCCUCUUCUGGGGAAACACAACAGCAGGGACACUAAGGCAGGUUUGUUCCUGAUACACAUGGGACUUUAUGGAUGGUGGACUUUGGCUUGAGGAUCCACCUUCCUCCCCCCAUGGCUUUGCUGAAUCUCCUUAGGCUGCACCAUGGUCUAGAACACUUCCACCCUGCCUUCCUUCCCUCUCUCCUUUACUCUGGGGGUCAGACCUGCAUGGCUCACCCAGCCUUCUGCAGCUGGCUC